rnacentral:rRNA from 1 species
UUUAUCAAAAACAUCGCCUCUUGCAAAAUCAACNAAUAAGAGGUCACGCCUGCCCAGUGACUUUAAGUUCAACGGCCGCGGUAUUUUGACCGUGCAAAGGUAGCGCAAUCACUUGUCUUUUAAAUGGAGACCUGUAUGAAUGGCAUCACGAGGGCUUGACUGUCUCCUUUCUUCAGCCAAUGAAAUUGAUCUCCCCGUGCAGAAGCGGGGAUUAUCUCAUAAGACGAGAAGACCCUAUGGAGCUUUAGACACUAAGACAGCCUAUGUCAAACAUCCCCAACAAGGGCCUGAACUAAAUAGUCCCUGUCCUAAUGUCUUCGGUUGGGGCGACCCUGGGGAAAUAACCAACCCCCAUGCGGAGUGAAAACAUGUUUUCAAAGCCAAGAGCCACCGCUCUAAGAAACAGAAUUUCUGACCAGCUAGAUCCGGCAAAGCCGAUCAACGGACCGAGUUACCCUAGGGAUAACAGCGCAAUCCCCUUACAGAGCCCUUAUCGACAAGGGGGUUUACGACCUCGAUGUUGGAUCAGGACAUCCUAAUGGUGCAGCCGCUAUUAAGGGUUCGUUUGUUCAACGAUUAAAGUCCUACGUGAUCUGAGUUCA